AAUCAACGCUGGCGGCGUGCCUCAGACAUGCAAGUCGAACGAUUAAAGCUCUCUUCGGAGAGUGUAUAGAGUGGCGCACGGGUGAGUAACACGUAAGUAAUCUACCCUCGGGUGGGGAAUAACAUCGGGAAACCGAUGCUAAUACCGCAUAAUGCAGCGGCUCCUAAUGGAGACAGUUGUUAAAGGAUUUAUUCGCCUGAGGAGGAGCUUGCGGCAGAUAGCUAGUUGGUAAGGUAAUGGCUUACCAAGGCUACGAUCUGUAGCCGGUCUAAGAGGACGGUCGGUCACACUGACACUGAAUAACGGGUCAGACUCCUACGGGAGGCAGCAGUCGGGAAUUUUUGGGCAAUGGGCGAAAGCCUGACCCAGCAACGCCGCGUGAAGGA
rnacentral:rRNA from 1 species